AAACAUCCAUGAUUGUCUACGGUUUGUGAAAGAAGAUGUGUACAUGAAUUACGACCCCGUCCGUCCAAUUUUACGAUAUUCUGCGACUUCAACAAUUCACUAACGGGACCUGGUGUGUGUUCUCAUAGGUAACGUUAUCUAUAUCCCGUUUUUUAGCGAUUUAUCAAGGCUUCAUGGUACUGCUGAUUUUCGCUAGGUUCAAAAUGGGGCCAGUGACACUCCAGUCAUAACAUUGUUGCCCGUCGAUGCCAAAGUUAUUGUGUGCGAUGUACCAGAGACGUGGAUGUAAUUUAUUAUACAGCAGUUUGAACUUGUGUAUAUUUGCGUGUAAUGUGUGAAAAUAUCUGUGUCAACUUUUUCUAUUGUUUAUUUCAUAAUGUCAACAUUGAUAGUGGGCGAUUCGCAUGUGAAAAUACUCAAAACAUUCUUAGGUUCACGUCGUUCCGCUAAUUUUGUGUUUAAUAUAUAUGAACUCAAAGAGGUGAACUAUUUCGGUAUAAGUGGAGGACUUGUGAACAAUGGUCACCAUCUAUCCCUUAUUACAUCUGCAGUACGACGGUGUAGACCUCAGCACCUAAUUGUUUUUAUUGGAGGCAAUGAUUUGGACUCGAGUGAACUAGAUUUUAGUUUGGAAUGUAUUGUUUCUAAAUUGACUGCCAAUGUGACUCAACUUAAAAGGUGUUUCCAUUUAAAGUCUGUUACCGUGCUUAGUUUUCUCCCUAGAGAAGUGACUUAUUUAUAAUCAAAGAGUCAAAAAAGCCACUAGACUUCUUAAGCAAUUUUGUGCUUGUCACACAGUAACAUUUUGGAAGCUGAGGGGAUUCGCGGAAAGUCAGAAACCUAUCUUAUGCGACGGGGUUCAUCUUAAUGACUUGGGGUUCCAUAAAAUGUUUAGACAGAUUACAGGUGUCCUAUUAAUUCAGCUAAGACAGGAACCCAAGCAUAGUCCUUCUGUAAACAGCAAUGACGACAGGGGCUUCUAGCUUUCAAAGCAUCCUGAUCAAUCUGCAGAUAAGACUUUCCAUCACUUGUUAUAAUUUGUUUGGAUACAGAUUUUGAUGGCAUCCACACCAAAACGCAGGAGGCGGAACAAGACAGCCUCGCAUCCUCCCACAGAAACCCAACCUCAAAGCGGUCUUAUGUCUCAUGAGGACAGGGACACAAUGAUAAGGACGUACAUGGCCUCUAUCAUCCCAACCAUUGAAAAUACUUGUCGACGCUAUAUGGAUGAAUACCCUCAUGGUGAGAGCAAUCCUUCA